GGGGGUGCUUGCACCCCGCUGACGAGCGGCGGACGGGUGAGUAAUGCAUAGGAAACUGCCCAGUAGUGGGGGAUAGCCCGGGGAAACCCGGAUUAAUACCGCAUACGUCCUUCGGGAGAAAGUAGGGGAUCUUCGGACCUUGCGCUAUUGGAUGUGCCUAUGUCGGAUUAGCUAGUUGGUGGGGUAAGAGCCUACCAAGGCGACGAUCCGUAGCUGGUCUGAGAGGAUGAUCAGCCACAUCGGGACUGAGACACGGCCCGAACUCCUACGGGAGGCAGCAGUGGGGAAUAUUGGACAAUGGGGGAAACCCUGAUCCAGCCAUGCCGCGUGUGUGAAGAAGGCUUUCGGGUUGUAAAGCACUUUCAGUGAGGAGGAAAACCUUACGACUAAUACUCGUGAGGCUUGACGUUACUCACAGAAGAAGCACCGGCUAACUCCGUGCCAGCAGCCGCGGUAAUACGGAGGGUGCAAGCGUUAAUCGGAAUUACUGGGCGUAAAGCGCGCGUAGGUGGUUUGAUAAGCGAGAUGUGAAAGCCCCGGGCUUAACCUGGGAACGGCAUUUCGAACUGUCAGGCUAGAGUGUGGUAGAGGGUAGUGGAAUUUCCUGUGUAGCGGUGAAAUGCGUAGAUAUAGGAAGGAACACCAGUGGCGAAGGCGGCUACCUGGACCAACACUGACACUGAGGUGCGAAA
rnacentral:rRNA from 1 species